UACACUUUAGUAUAAGAUGUACUUUAAUUUUUGGAAUUAAAAGGAAUAGUCAGAAUCUAUUGAGUGUAU
rnacentral:tRNA from 1 species